rnacentral:rRNA from 1 species
CCUACGGGAGGCAGCAGUGGGGAAUAUUGCGCAAUGGGCGAAAGCCUGACGCAGCGACGCCGCGUGAGGGAUGAAGGUCUUCGGAUCGUAAACCUCUGUCAGCAGGGAAGAACGGUCACUGUGCUAAUCAGCAGUGAAUUGACGGUACCUGCAAAGGACGCACCGGCUAACUCCGUGCCAGCCGCCGCGGUAAUACGGCGGGUGCGAGCGUUAAUCGGAAUUACUGGGCGUAAAGCGAUCGUAGGCGGUAUGUCAAGUCAAGGGUGAAAUCCCCGCGCUCAACGUGGGAACUGCCUUUGAAACUGGCAAACGUGAGUGUGUGAGAGGAUAGUGGAAUUCCAGGGGUAGGAGUGAAAUCCGUAGAUAUCUGGAGGAACAUCAGUGGCGAAGGCGACUAUCUGGCACAUAACUGACGCUGAGGAGCGAAAGCGUGGGUAGCAAACAGGAUUAGAUACCCGUGUAGUC